UUCCAUGCUAGGAUCCUC
rnacentral:snRNA from 1 species